AGUCCUACAAGAGAUAUAGGAGCCAAUAGGAUGCCUCCAAUCUAAUCAGGGAAGCACUCCUGCCAAUAAGGAAGCCCUGCUUAAUUAUGAAAUCAUCAUCACAUCCUUGGGAAUCUCUAGUUUGUACAACGCGACUCCACCAUCAGGAAGCCUCUGGCUUGAUAAAAGAAACUCAGCUUGCUGCCAUGAUGAAAGUUUCCCCAGAGUACCUGGCUGGCUUAGUCCUGUGGGGCAUAUGACUCUUGAUCUUGGGACCAUGAGUUUGAGACCUAUGUUGAGUGUAGAACUUACUUUAAAAAAAAAGUUUCCCAGAAAAUGUGCUGAUGGCAUUGAGUGGGCAGUAAAAAUAACCAAGAACUUGCAAAGCUGGAAAAAAGACCUUGAGAUCACCUGCUUGGGCUGGAGCUCCAAGACUGCAGAGCAGAGACAAGCUAAGAAGAGUCUAUCUUUUGCAGCUGGACAAAGGACAUCAUGAGCUGACCAGAAAAACAGUCUAUAGAGUAACUAUCUUUGAUAGAAAUAAUAAAGAUAUAAACUGAACAGCCUAAGUUUUUAAGUAAAAGAAGAAUCAAGAUUUUCUGGCAAAAGAUUGCAGGACAAAAAUGAGAGGAGUCCUUUAGCAGAGGAAGAAUUUCAGCCCAUUUCUGGAAAUAUUAAUGCCAAUAAAGAAGAGCUGAUGAAGCAAAGGAAGUGGCUUGGGAAGGGUCAAGACUUGGAAACAUCAGACAAGGGGAAGAAAAGUUGAUGGCCCUGGUCAAGAUAAGAGCUGGCCCUGUCAGAGGUGUGUACGAAGGGAUCUGAUUGGGUGACAAUGGAACCCAAGUUAAGCAUGUGGUGACAAAGUCUGAGUAGCUGCAUUGCAAAUACAGGGUGGGACUGACAAGAGUGUAACUCAGAAGACAGCAGGGAAGAAAUCUCCCCAAGCAGCUCUGCUCUGAACUCUGCCCUAUCCAAGAACUCUUCACCCAGCCAAGAGAUCCGCAACCCAGUGGAGAGUCCAUGGACUCAGUAAGAAAGAGUUUACAGCUUCCUUCCUCAAAAGUCUCCAAGAUAAACAGAAUAAACACCAGUUGGUCUCAGCUGGUCGCACGUUGGCCUGCCUGGAAGAGGGGGAUGCCAGAGAUAGCUUCUUGAGGUUGCUUCCAGCCCUGCAUUUCUAGGAAAUAGACAAUUAUGAACAACAUGGAUUUUAUUAUCGUGACAUCUCUAAGGUCUCUGCAUAAAGCCUAUAUUUAAAAAUAUAAACAUGUAAGUGAAAAAAAAAUGUCAGGGGAAUAAAUAUUUGUCUUAAAAGAGA